rnacentral:rRNA from 1 species
UACGGAGGGGGCAAGCGUUGUUCGGAAUUACUGGGCGUAAAGGGCGCGUAGGCGGUGCCUCAAGUCAGAUGUGAAAUCCCCGGGCUCAACCUGGGAACUGCAUUUGUGACUGUAGAGCUGGAGUGCGGCAGAGGGGGAUGGAAUUCCGCGUGUAGCAGUGAAAUGCGUAGAUAUGCGGAGGAACACCGAUGGCGAAGGCAAUCCCCUGGGCCUGCACUGACGCUCAUGCACGAAAGCGUGGGGAGCAAACAGG